GACGAACGCUGGCGGCGUGCUUAAUACAUGCAAGUCAACUUGACUUUAGAUAGCAAUAUCGAAAAGUAGGGUGGCGCACGGGUGCGUAACGCGUAGGUAAUCUGCCCUGAGGUCUGACAUAACCCGUCGAAAGGCGGGCUAACAUCAGAUGAUAUAUAAUCACGACAUCGUGGAAAUAUCAAAUCUUCGGAGCCUUGGGAUGAGCCUGCGUCUGAUUAGGUAGUUGGCGGAGUAAUAGCCCACCAAGCCUACGAUCAGUAGCUGGUCUGAGAGGAUGAUCAGCCACACUGGAACUGAGACACGGUCCAGACUCCUACGGGAGGCAGCAGUAAGGAAUAUUGCUCAAUGGGGGAAACCCUGAAGCAGCAACGCCGCGUGAAGGAUGAAAUACUUUUGUAUGUAAACUUCUGUAAGAUGGGAAAAUAUUCUCCUCGGGAGAAUUGAUUGUACCAUCAGAGUAAGCCCCGGCUAACUACGUGCCAGCAGCC
rnacentral:rRNA from 1 species